rnacentral:antisense_RNA from 1 species
UGGUGGGCUGCAGGCACAAACCUGGUGUUGCCGUGAGAGGCCGUGUACCCUGUGCCUGGCCAGCAUCAGGUGCGAAACCACACGAUCCUGCCACCGGGUCAGGGCCACGCUCACAGAGGAGGAGGACACGCACGGCCUAGGCUCUCCCUGUUCUGGAUGUUUCAUGUUAACGGGGCUACAUCGCAUAACCUCAUGUGUGGUUCCUCUGAGCGCAGUGCUUUCCAGGGCAACCGUGUCACAGUGCGGAUGGACACACGGACUGUGGUGAGCUGUGAGCACCAGGCACAGGCCCAGUUGUGGACGAAGGUUUGCAUUUCUCCUGGGUCCACAUCUAUGGUGCCCCCAUUAGGGCGCCUGAGGCCCGCCCCGUCAGGCUGCCAUUCUGGGAAGAGGACUGGGGGGAGCCUCCGGCCCCCAUACCGCCGCCCAUUCCCCUGGCACCUCAGCAGACACCUGGCCUCCUCUGAGAUCUGGGUGGACAGGACUAACCCUCUUUGAGACACGCCAGCCCAUGCGCUUCUGGAACUC